UACGUAGGGUGCAAGCGUUGUCCGGAAUUAUUGGGCGUAAAGAGCUCGUAGGCGGUUUGUCGCGUCGGGAGUGAAAAACUCAGGGCUUAACCCUGAGCCUGCUUCCGAUACGGGCAGACUAGAGGUAUGCAGGGGAGAACGGAAUUCCUGGUGUAGCGGUGAAAUGCGCAGAUAUCAGGAGGAACACCGGUGGCGAAGGCGGUUCUCUGGGCAUUACCUGACGCUGAGGAGCGAAAGUGUGGGAGCGAACAGG
rnacentral:rRNA from 1 species